CCUACGGGAGGCAGCAGUGAGGAAUAUUGGUCAAUGGACGAGAGUCUGAACCAGCCAAGUAGCAUGAAGGAUGACUGCCCUAUGGGUUGUAAACUUCUUUUAUAUGGGAAUAAAAUGUUCCACGUGUGGGAUUUUGUAUGUACCAUAUGAAUAAGGAUCGGCUAACUCCGUGCCAGCAGCCGCGGUAAUACGGAGGAUCCGAUCGUUAUCCGGAUUUAUUGGGUUUAAAGGGAGCGUAGGUGGAUUGUUAAGUCAGUUGUGAAAGUUUGCGGCUCAACCGUAAAAUUGCAGUUGAAACUGGCAGUCUUGAGUACAGUAGAGGUGGGCGGAAUUCGUGGUGUAGCGGUGAAAUGCUUAGAUAUCACGAAGAACUCCGAUUGCGAAGGCAGUUCACUGGACUGCAACUGACACUGAGGCUCGAAAGUGUGGGUAUCAAACAGGAUUAGAUACCCGAGUAGUC
rnacentral:rRNA from 1 species